rnacentral:rRNA from 1 species
CACGUAGGGCGCAAGCGUUGUCCGGAAUUAUUGGGCGUAAAGAGCUCGUAGGCGGUCUGUUGCGUCCGCUGUGAAAACUCGGGGCUUAACCCCGAGCCUGCAGUGGAUACGGGCAGACUAGAGGUAGGUAGGGGAGAAUGGAAUUCCCGGUGUAGCGGUGAAAUGCGCAGAUAUCGGGAGGAACACCGGUGGCGAAGGCGGUUCUCUGGGCCUUACCUGACGCUGAGGAGCGAAAGCGUGGGGAGCGAACAGGAUUG